AAGGAGCAGUUGGUGCAGUUGGUGGCUGCAGAAAGAGAGGAAAUUUUGGGAAUUGUGAAGAUGGCGGAGACAAGAGCAAGAGAAAAAAUGAAAGAAAAAGAAAAAAAAGAAAAAAAACAAGAAAUCAAAAAAACAAAAAAAAAGGAAGGCGAGUCCAACAUCG